GGAUUCCCCGGCGCUGGCAGGGGCUGCUCGGGCUUCCCCGGGCACUGCGCGGCCGCCAAAGCCACGGCGAGAGGUCAAAGCUGAAGGCAAACAGCAAGGACUGGAAGAAGAGAUGUUCAGCAACCACUCAGAAUUACCUUUAUUAGUAAAGGAGAAUGAAGCAUCCAGGAACAGAGAAUUUCACAAUGGGAAGAAGCAAGCUGCAGAGAGAGGAGGAUCAGACUGUGAUUAGUUGUGAGAGGUAGUUCCCCAUGGAUUAAAUAUCAGGACUGAGAUGCAGACAACAACCAGACGUUACCUUUUUUAAUGAAACGUCUUGAUAUCCCCGAAAAAUCCUGACCCAAUAUUAAUCCCAUGUUUCUCUAGCUGUGAAUAAAACAUUGCAUAGAACACAGUUCUGCUCCUGUCUUGCA